UGGCAUUGCCGGGUAGCUAUGUGCGGAAGGGAUAACCGCUGAAAGCAUCUAAGCGGGAAGCCUACCUCAAGAUGAGAUUUCCCUCACGCAUUAGCGUGCUGAAGGUCCGUUGAAGACUACAACGUUGAUAGGCUGGGUGUGGAAGUGCAGUAAUGCAUUAAGCUAACCAGUACUAAUUGACCGUGUGACUUAGCCAUAUAACCUCAAA
rnacentral:rRNA from 1 species